rnacentral:rRNA from 1 species
AAUCAACGCUGGCGGCGUGCCUAACACAUGCAAGUCGAACGCGAAAGCCCCUUCGGGGGCAAGUAGAGUGGCGUCCGGGUGAGUAACACGUGGGUAAUCUACCUCCGGGUGGGGAAUAACUCGCCGAAAGGCGGGCUAAUACCGCAUAAUGCAGCGGCACCGAAUGGUGAUUAGUUGUUAAAGCGGGGGACCUUAGGGCCUCGCGUCUGGAGAGGAGCCUGCGGCAGAUUAGCUUGUUGGUAGGGAAUGGCCUACCAAGGCUGCGAUCUGUAGCUGGUCUGAGAGGACGGCCAGCCACACUGGCACUGACACACGGGCCAGACUCCUACGGGAGGCAGCAGUGGGAAUUUUGGGCAAUGGGCGAAAGCCUGACCCAGCAACGCCGCGUGAAGGAGGAAAUCCUUCGGGAUGUAAACUUCACAAGCAAGGGAAGAGCGCGCAGGGUCGAAUAAACUCUGCGUCCGACGGUACCUUGCGUAAGCCACGGCUAACUACGUGCCAGCCGCCGCCGUAAC